GACGAACGCUGGCGGCGUGCUUAACACAUGCAAGUCGAACGGAAAGGCCCUGCUUUUGUGGGGUGCUCGAGUGGCGAACGGGUGAGUAACACGUGAGUAACCUGCCCUUGACUUUGGGAUAACUUCAGGAAACUGGGGCUAAUACCGGAUAGGAGCUCCUGCUGCGUGGUGGGGGUUGGAAAGUUUCGGCGGUUGGGGAUGGACUCGCGGCUUAUCAGCUUGUUGGUGGGGUAGUGGCUUACCAAGGCUUUGACGGGUAGCCGGCCUGAGAGGGUGACCGGCCACAUUGGGACUGAGAUACGGCCCAGACUCCUACGGGAGGCAGCAGUGGGGAAUAUUGCACAAUGGGCGGAAGCCUGAUGCAGCAACGCCGCGUGCGGGAUGACGGCCUUCGGGUUGUAAACCGCUUUCGCCUGCGACGAAGCGUGAGUGACGGUAAUGGGUAAAGAAGCACCGGCUAACUACGUG
rnacentral:rRNA from 1 species